GGAUAGCUAAGUUGGUUAGAGUGUGGCGCUGAUAAUGCCAAGGUAGCAGGUUCGAUCCCUGUAUGGGACA
rnacentral:tRNA from 1 species